CUGGGUCGUGUGAGUAACACCGUGACGUCCCACGUUCGGACACGGGUCACAGACAGUAGGCUUUGCCGAGUUUUCUUCGGUCGAUCGCCGGCUAAACGAUUUCUUAUGCCGCGACAUUGAACACUGCGAUGUCGAGAAUCGAACAAAACCACGUCUUUCGUCUUUUUCUUCAUUUAUUUUCUGUCUUCUCUCUCGACAGAGUGCGCUUCAACGAAGAACAAAUCUCGCGAGUGCACCGAGCGACAACGAUACUUUCACUCGACCAUCGUCAGGUGUUUCUCAACUCCUUGCCUUACGAUGUUUUUUACUAGCCACCUCGGUGAGCCUUAUUCCACGCUAUGACACCGUGUCAAACGCAAAAUAUCGAAACGUUACGAAGAAUCGAAGCUAAAAUCGUAGAUAGUCUCUUUUUCCUCUUUGUGCGUACCCGACUCCUUCACAGCUGUUAACUAGUUCAUGCGCCAUGUUUUCAUCAAGUUUAUUCAUUCUUUACCGAGGAUUAUUCUCUGCAAGUGGAAAUCGCAUAAGUUACUUACAUAUUUGUUCGCUACGAAUCCAUGGAAAUACGUGCUUAGCAAAAGCGCGAUCGAAUUCUCUUAUUGAAAAAGUAUUUGACGAAUCUUUUGAGUUGGGCGAUAGAAGAAACGGCAGACUAUGGAAGAAACCGGAGGAAGCUUCGCUCGUGUUUACAAUGUUUAGCUUCCGCUAUAGCUGCGCUAUUUAGUUAUCGCGAUGGGAAAGUUUAUCCACGAUAUGGUGGCGCGAUCGGCUGCACAUAGAUACAUCUUACAUACGGUGAACGAGGGAAUAUCGCAAAUUCCCUGACGGCACGGAUGGCAAAGGCAUUCUGGCGUAGCAAUUACCUGCAGGGCGAGGGAGUCAAGUAGCAAUAUCUGGACCCGUUAUCCAGUUCGGUUAUCCCGACUGGAAUGCUUUGUGUCGCCGGCAAUCUGCAUUUCUACCUGUUUGAAUGGAAGUCUAUGAGAUCCGCGGCAUGAUUUCAAAUGAAAUCGACUCUUUGUCCCCUGGCCGGAAAUUUCCAAUUCAAUAACGCGCCCAGGGAAACGCUGCAGAAACGACCGAUUGAUUGAUACUCGGAAUUGGAUGGAACGCGAAAGGAUGGAAAAAGUUUUACUGCCGAUCGAUCGUCAUUCGAGAAAUUUGAAUGUCUUACAUGUAACCAAGAGCUAAUCCUGAAUCGAUUCGUUGGAUCUUAUUAAAGUUAUUAUUCAACUUCGUACACGUACAUAUUACACGUUACGAAUACUACGUAUCGGGAAACGUUAAUAGAAUAUUUAAAAUGGCGAUGAAUUUUAAGCCUGACGAACGUCCGAAUGUGCAUUGUAUUUUAGCAACUGUAGGCGUAUCGCUUCCUUUAGUUGGCUUUGGGAGAUUUUCUUCCAUUGGAACCUAUGAAUGACUAGUCGAGAACUUGCCCGGCAACCCUUUGCAAUGCAUUAGAAUUUCGCAGCUAUCAAGGGAGGAAGGCGACAUUAGCAUCGAGGCUAAGGACACCCUUGCUUCGCGUUCGCGUCUUAUGUUUUCGUCGGCCCGGUAUUCAUGAACGGGGUUCUGACGUGGGGCAUUCGACUUCCUUCUCCUUCAUGAAUUUACAAUCGACCGAAGGAAAUGCGCAGACGAAGCUUGCGCGUGCCAUUCCCCGAGAAACAGCGCUAAAUACCAGAAGCUUCAAUGCUCAUUCCAUCGCUUUAGGUAUGAGUUAUAAGAUUUGUCAUAACGUAUACUUAACGAACAAUGGGAUAGAAACUUUUAUUCCUCUUCGAGGAAUUAUCACUGGCAUCACAGAGACGUAUCGAGUCUCUUCGUAGUUGUACAUACAUACAUAAGUACCUCUAUAGAUCGCACGAUAGUUGUCAGAAAUGACUAAAAAGCCGACGGUUCUGCUAAUCGUAUCAAGCUACGGCAACAAAUCCAUGGUCCAGCUAAUAAGAACGCUAGUGUCGAAGGACGAGGGAAAGAGAGAAAUAAUAACGAGGAAGAUAGAGAUUGGAGGUUUAGUGGGCGAGGGUGAACGUGGUGAGGGAAAGCGGAUGGAGGCUGGAGCCACGUGCUGCUGUCACUGGCACAGAUUAUAUUAUAUAGGAAUGGCAGCGAAUAGGUGUAGAUAUAAGCGUCGAGCGGCAGUUAAUAAAUAUGAUAAUGGCGGGCGAAGUGAGAGAAAGAGAGGGGUGUGUGGGGUGCGAUAUGGGAUACCAGUGUAUAAGAGUGACCACCAGAAGCAGAGGCCUGUCACCGUCAGGACCUCUCGUAUGUCAUGCGACGCACGCACCUAUACAUACAUGCACAUACAAAGUGGCGACACGCGCGCGAUGACAGCAUCGAGCGUGGAACGCGUGCUACUAUCUUUUUCUUCCAUUUUUCUCUCCUUUGCCGUGAUAUAAUUGUUGACGCGAUUACUCGAUUCCAAUGAGAACUAUUUAAAUAAAAAAGUUGGCUGUCUUCCUUAAAUUUGUCGACUUUUUUAUUUUUAGCAACUGUUUUAGUUUGCGUUUCUACGACACCUAUCCAAUCGUCUCGACAAAGCAUUCGAUGCAAUUAUUACGCGAUUAACAGAACAUAUAUUCUCCUUCGCUUUAGAUCUCUCCGAAGAACUACAAAUUACACCACGGGAGAUCGCACGACCUAGGAAAUACAUGGAAACGGAAAAUCGUUGAAGGGUCAUCGUCGUCAGUGGUGGCAGUAAUUCGCGAAAUUUCAUAAUAUCACGACGAACCGUUGGAGCAGGAAAGGAAAAAAAGAGCGAAGAAUACGGCCGGUUUCCCCUCGGCUUUCAUUAAUCUCACUUCCUCCGCGGAAGUCGGAAACAGUUUUCUGCUGUGCAACCUUUCCCUUUUGACCCGGUAAAUUGCGCGCGCGCGCGCGCGCGGGCGUACGCACGCCAGCCACGUCGUGUACCUGUAUCCGCUCUUCCAGGAGCAAUUAGUCACGGUGCUCUUGAUAAAUCGCCGGAAUCCUACCCCCGUGGGGUUAAGUCUCGGCUGUAGACCCUCGGCAAAUAUCCAAUAACAGCCGUCCGACUCCUGGCGGUCGCUUCGCCUCUCUACGUGUAUAACCGGGUAUUAACCUUCACCUAUCGAGGAGAUCGGCUUACCUUAAUAAUCGUAGAGCUACACCGUCGCAGUCUAAGGGGGUUACGACGUUACGAGGCCAGGAACACGCGGCGCUGGCUCGCGCAAGGGUGUUUCCAUGGCACUAGUCGCAAAGCUGGUUCGUUCCGCACCAUGAGAAACAGGUACGAUCAAAAAUCGUCGGAGAUGUAAUGAAACAUUCUUAGCCUCUUCUCUCUUGGAUAGAACGUUGGAUAGGAGGAGUGCGGGAUCGUUCGUUGGAUUUGAUCGGGCCGUUGAUUGCUCCAUGUGCAGGAGUAAUUGGUCGAGUUUCUGAGAUUUUUUAUAUAGAUAUCUUUCGCAUUUCUUAAUUCUACGAUGCGCGACGGAUGCCGCGAUGAGUCGAUGAACGAUGGAAAAUGAUAUAGGUUUCUUAGAGGCGAAUCGGACUACGAAGUAUUUGCUACGAAGCGUCUUUAGAAAUUCUGCGAAUUCUUAGAAUUGUAUUCAUACAUUUUCCCUAAGUUCGUGCCUUCUUAUUUGCACGAGGGAUGUUAAAAAAUAGACCGAGUCGGAUAAUACAAAGGAAACAGCCGCCUCGGCAUUCUGAUGACUUGCCGAAUCUCGACGAUCGGCGCUUUCGGACUCGUGUCAAUCCGUGCCCCAUUCAGAUGUAUUCGAUUCUUUGUCCAACCCCUCGGAGGUUAACAAGAAGAGGGGGGAGGAAAGAAAGAGAAACGCAGAGAAGAUGGGAUAGGACAGGAUAGGAUAGGAUCGACGCACGUUUCGGCGUAUUCCACGUAACAUGCUCGUUCCUUUGAAUAAGUAUCGUUUUAUUAAUAUCUCUGUCGUUAUUUACAAAACUUUGUAAUAAUCUCUAAUUUUCUUCACCGUCACACGCUACUCGCUAUUCGUCAAUCGUUAUACUUUUACGCUUUUGUGUACCUGUGUACGUAUGUACCGUGUAAUCAGUGUGUACAUGUAUGCGUUGGUUGUGUGUGUGUGCGCGUGUGUGUGUAUGCGUGUUAUAUUAAUGUCGAUAAUGCUCGAGUUUGCUAAAUCGUUUACAGUAGAACGUGAAUGUUCCUUACCGGCGUCGUCGUCGAAAUCCACCGCUUUUCAACUUUGGAGCCGACUUCUACCACUUCUUUUUAUAAUUCUUUCUCGCGUCGUCUUCGUCGCGUAUGCGCCUAAACACCAGCAUACCACACAUUAUAUUUACACCAUCGGAUUCACACCUGUGACCUCGUUAUCACAGCGCGCACGCCGCCUUUUUUCUCUCUCUCUCGCGCUCUCUCUCUCUCUCUCUCUCUCUCUCGCUCUCGCUCUUCUUUUUACAUUCGGCACGUUUUGUUUUCGUCUUCAUCGUCGUUGUCGACCGUGGAAAAUCGAUUCUCUCUUCUGCACAAGCAAACCGCGUCACAAUUUCGCGACGGAUGCGAGAAAUACGCCGUAAUAUACAUCUCUAACUAUGUACACGCGUGUCUCCAGCUCGACGUAUCCGCCUGAAACACGCUCGCGACACGGUUUCAUCGUUUCCAUGCGAAGAGAAAGAAAGGAAACGUUGGAUCCGAGUCGUUCAAUUGAACAAACCACGCGCUUGGUCGAUUAAUCUGUUUCGACUCUUACGACUCUAAUGUAAGUCAUGCUCGUGCUCUUUCACCUCCGUCUUUUUCGACUCUGCCGCUCGGAAUCGUGAAAAUUGAAAGAAUACUAUUUCACUACGUGAUUCGCGGAUGUA